CCACUAAACAUUAGACGUCUUAUGGACGUGCAGAUCAUGUCUAUAUUGCGUCGGUCGGUCCAAGACCAAUUCUGUACGUCUACACGACGUGCAAACUAGGUCCGCUAUUUGGACGUCUAACUAUGACCCCACUUGGACGUCAAUAUGCAGUUAAACAUUUGAACGUCGGACUAGGUCACUUUUUUGGACGUCAUGGGGACGUCUAAUACAGGUGCAGGAAAUUAACAUUAUUUAAGAAUAUAUUUAUUUUUAAAUGUAUGUCAAAAUUGUUGUUAUCAAUAUUGUUAAUCACUAUGAAUAUAGAUUAUUUAUGAUUAAGCAUAAUUUAUUUCUAAUUAUUUAUUUGAGUAUUAUAUUUUUUAUCUAUUUAAUUAAUUAACGAAUGUAGGUAUUUAUUUACGUAUGUUUUUAUUUUUAUUUGGAAAUGCAAUUUAUGUGGAAAAUUGUUAAGUUGAUUUCAACCAGUCAACACCACUCUGAUUUGCUGAGACCGCACGUCAUCAUAAACUCCACUCUGAUAUGCCGAGGCAAAACACGCUAAACAUUUUUUGGCUGCUGCAGUAGCUCAGCUCAGCUCAGCUCAUUCAGUUCAGCUUGCUCAGCUCAGCUCCGCUCCGGACCGGACUCAGCUGCCAAGCUAUAAGAUGGAGUCAUGAAAUGUGACGGGACAGCCACCGAGGACUUCAUACUUCGGAGCAUCUCAAACAUGCACCACAAAGACGUGGAGGACACACCGCUGUCUCUCAGGACCUAGAAUCUUAAUGAAAGUAUAAUGAUGUUAAGGGAAGGUGUAGUGGAAAGGUGUGAUAGUGUUGAGGGAAGGUGUAAUAGUGUUGAGGGAAGGGGUAAUGUUAAAGGUGUAAUAGUGUUAAGGGAAGGUAUAAUAUUGUUAAGGGAAGGUGUAAUGCAGGGGUCUCAAACUCAUUUUUGCCGAGGGCCACAUUGACAUAUUGGCUGUCCUCUGAGGGCCAGAUGUAACUUACAAAUAUAAGAAAAUGUAACCAGAUGUAAUAUAUAAAAUGAAUGUAAUUACUCCUUAAUGUUAAAUAACUCUCAAUAUACUAUUUAUUCAAUCAAAUAUUACAGUUGCAUGGAAAAAUGUUUGCUUGUUGCUCUAUUAACAUAAAUCCUUUUAAUUUGUCAUGUUAUGAAAUCCAAAAACUCCAUCAAUCAAGAACCAAACUAUUCAAGUGAAUAGAAAUUACAUCAGUACAAGUUAUAUUAACUUUGAUCAAAACGUUUGAUACUGAAAUAAGGCUUAAUAAAUAUAAAAUCAAAAAUUGUGAGCUGUGACAGAUUUAGCAUUUCCUCAGAUUUAGCAGUUCCUCAUCCAACCACUAGUCGGAGCUGCAGCUGCAGCACCACAAGCCCGCAGUCUUUGCUUAGUCAGAGCUACAGCCCAGCCACGGGCUACAGGACUCAGCUGAGCCUGUCUGGAGCGUUUUGAAAUUUUUUAAGUUCUUCUGUGUAUGAAAUAAAAUAACCCCACUAACCGGAUAAUACAGCUCUCUACAGUUCAUCUUUCAGCCCAAGCAGCUAACAGCAGCAGUUUAGAGCAGCGUCAGGGAGUCACUGCUGGGAUUACAUUAUAAACAGGUCAGUUAGCGCUGCUAACCUCAGGAUGUUUAUAACUACGGAGUUUAAUGGACACACCACGGCAGCAAGGUUAGACUGUUGAAGGCUACUGAAGACUACUAAAGCAGGCAACGCAGCGUAAGCAAAACAAAAACAAAAACCACACACACACACCAAAAUACAAGUUAAGAUAAAAUAUGAAAACGAACAUAAUAAAGCAUAAAUAAUUAAAUUGAAUUGCGGGCCAGAUGUAUGUUUAUUUUGUUAACCCGUGAGGGGCCGUAUGAAACCGCGUGGGCCGGUACUUUGAGACCCCUGGUGUAAUGUAAAGGUGUAAUAGUGUUGAGGGAAGGUAUAAUAUUGUUAAGGGAAGGUGUAAUGUUAAAGGUGUAAUAGUUUUGAGGGAAGGUGUAAUAGUUUUGAGGGAAGGUGUAAUAGUGUUGAGGGAAGGUGUAAUGUUAAAGGUGUAAUAGUGUUAAGGGAAGGUAUAAUAUUGUUAAGGGAAGGUGUAAUGUAAAGCUGUAAUAGUUUUAAGGGAAGGUAAAUGUUUAGUGAAAUUGUUAUGGUGUGAAUCUAAGGUGUAUGUUAUGUUGAUGUAAAAUAAAGGCAUUAACCCUAAAUGAGAUUUACUCAUUAUUUUUAUUAUUAUAUUAAUGUUUCCCCAAACAGAAAGGGUCAAUUUAAAAUCAACAGUGGUAAGAUGGGGGUAAUUAAUUUAUCCCUUGCUUUUACUGGUUCUUUGCAGGUUGACAUGUUUUGGAAAAAGUGAGAGGGUUGAAAUGCAAUUUAUUUGUAAAGCAUAUUGUGUAUAACUAACGUGCAUAACUAGUUCCAGAAGGUUGUGAACCUGUUCCAGUAAUUGUUUGGCUUAGCUUUGUAUGCGUUUCCAGUGAUCUGCUGAAGCUGGAACAAUGGAACAGUUGCCACCGUCUGAAAUGGCACUACAGUUAUGCAGGGAGCCUCAAAGUAGCUGGUCUAUAAAAACGAAUACAUGUAAAUUUCACGUAGAAAAGACGUCCACAACGACUUAAUUUAAACUAGAAUUAGCCCUUAUCCGGAGGUCUGGGGGACGUCAAUACUGGACGUGCAGAAGACGUCAGAAAAAAGACGUCGUCUGGCGUCACAGUCUGCACCUUCAGGAGACCAAAAUUGGACGUGCAAAAAUGACCUAGAAAAGACGUCGUUUCAACGUCUCUUUGUUUAGUGGGAAUGAACGAAAAUUCAUUUAGCUAACUAGUUUGCUAGAAGCUGGAUGUAGAGGAUAGCCAGACUUUAGUACAGUACUUUGUUUGUAGUUUAAAGCAGUUUCUUAACCCCAAUCACUGCCCCAAAAUAGUGUUUUCCACCUGAUCCAGCUGAUCAGCUAAUAAACAGUCAUUUACUGAGUUUACCUGUUAAAAUCCUUUAGCCCCCUAUGGAGCCUUAAUUAAUCAUGUAUAUCAGCAGUGUAUUAGACACAUCAUACCAUCACUUACUUUAUUAAGUGUCUUUUAAGCAAAGGAAGCUCUAGAAUCUGCAGAACAGUGUUAAUAUGCAGUAGAAUAUGUAAAAACAUGGUUGAGAAACACUGCUGUAACAUGACUUCUGAUAAUUUGUAGUUCACAGUAAGACCACAUGUCCUGACGUUUAUAAAAAUUUCUAUGAAACAUAAAGUUACAUUCUUUUACAUAAAAGGACAACAUCUUAAGAAGAGCUCUCAGUAGAAAAACUAAAUAAAAGUGCAGGAGAAAAUGUAAAUAUAUGACAGAAUUGACAUGCCAAUACAUAAUAAUAAUAAUAAUAAUAAUAAUAAUAAUAAUAACCAAAUCUGUAUUAUUUUAAAUAUUAGGUGAUAACUGAUCAUUUUUGUCAUAUGUAUAUAAUUCAGACAUUGCAUGCAUAAUUUUUUCUAACAACAGUAACUGUAACAUGGAGUAACAUGUUUAGGUUGUAAAAUCACCUUAU